GGGUGUGGCCUCGAUUCAGAGACUCUGACCCUUUCCUUUCUUUUUGCUGCCCAGUUUCCACGAUGUGAGUCAUUUCUCAACCCACGCUCCCACAUGACUUGCUGCCUCACCACAGGCCCCAGAGCAACAAGGGUGAGGGACUCUAGCCUCAAAGUUUUGAAACCCUAGGUUCUCUAAAUCGUCUGGUUAUGAUACCGCAAAGCUGCCUAACUUCACAUUCUGCUGAGAGCCUGCUACAAGUCAGUAGCUGUUGUGAAGGAGCAGAAGGAGACUUGGGUGAAAGCCUUUAACUCACCACAGCUGCUAUCUCAAAGCAUCCCAGGCUCAAAGCACCAUGGAGUUCUGUGGAAUGUUCAUGCGGAAGGAUACUGUUAGCUGAUUUGAAUUGCCCCGGACAGUGACCCGUUAUCUACCCUUUGUUGAGAUCAAACCUUUACAAAAAUAUUGAUGUUGGUGGUAAAUACAGCAUCUGCUUUUAGGGCUGCCAACCCAGGAAUUCUCUCAGUUGUAAAAUCAUGCAGGAGUUAUUUUGCUUUCUCAAAUCUGGAUGAUGGCAGUAACCCUUACGCCAGAUCCGGCUUUGGUUUUGUUUUUAACCAUCUUUGUCUUCUGCUCCACCUGCUGGCAAGUCUGCAUCCUCAUUGCCACCCAGCCUCCAACUCUAUCCCCUUCUGCCUCCAGAGAGUGCUAGGAUCAAAGUCCAGUGCCACCACCUCCUGGCUGGC
rnacentral:lncRNA from 1 species